GAUGAACGCUGGCGGCGUGCCUAAUACAUGCAAGUCGAGCGAACAGACGAGGAGCUUGCUCCUUCGACGUUAGCGGCGGACGGGUGAGUAACACGUAGGUAACCUACCUAUAAGACUGGAAUAACUUCGGGAAACCGGAGCUAAUACCGGAUAAUAUUUCGAACCGCAUGGUUCGAUAGUGAAAGAUGGCUUUGCUAUCACUUAUAGAUGGACCUGCGCCGUAUUAGCUAGUUGGUAAGGUAACGGCUUACCAAGGCAACGAUACGUAGCCGACCUGAGAGGGUGAUCGGCCACACUGGAACUGAGACACGGUCCAGACUCCUACGGGAGGCAGCAGUAGGGAAUCUUCCGCAAUGGGCGAAAGCCUGACGGAGCAACGCCGCGUGAGUGAUGAAGGUCUUCGGAUCGUAAAACUCUGUUAUUAGGGAAGAACAAACGUGUAAGUAACUGUGCACGUCUUGACGGUACCUAAUCAGAAAGCCACGGCUAACUACGUG
rnacentral:rRNA from 1 species